GCCAGACUCCUACGGGAGGCAGCAGUGGGGGAUAUUGCACAAUGGGGGAAACCCUGAUGCAGCGACGCCGCGUGGGCGAAGAAGUAUUUCGGUAUGUAAAGCCCUAUCAGCAGGGAAGAAGAAAUGACGGUACCUGAGUAAGAAGCACCGGCUAAAUACGUGCCAGCAGCCGCGGUAAUACGUAUGGUGCAAGCGUUAUCCGGAUUUACUGGGUGUAAAGGGAGCGCAGGCGGCAGGGCAAGCCUGAUGUGAAAGGCCGCGGCCCAACCGCGGGACUGCAUUGGGAACUACCGGGCUAGAGUGCCGGAGAGGUAGGCGGAAUUCCUAGUGUAGCGGUGAAAUGCGUAGAUAUUAGGAGGAACACCAGUGGCGAAGGCGGCCUACUGGACGGUGACUGACGCUGAGGCUCGAAAGCGUGGGGAGCAAACAGGAUUAGAUACCCCUGUAC
rnacentral:rRNA from 1 species